CAUGCAAGUCGAACGAUGAAGCCUAGCUUGCUAGGUGGAUUAGUGGCGAACGGGUGAGUAAUACGUGAGUAACCUACCUUUAACUCUGGGAUAAGCCUGGGAAACUGGGUCUAAUACCGGAUACGACCAAUCUCCGCAUGGGGUGUUGGUGGAAAGCGUUAUGUAGUGGUUAUAGAUGGGCUCACGGCCUAUCAGCUUGUUGGUGAGGUAACGGCUCACCAAGGCGACGACGGGUAGCCGGCCUGAGAGGGUGACCGGCCACACUGGGACUGAGACACGGCCCAGACUCCUACGGGAGGCAGCAGUGGGGAAUAUUGCACAAUGGGCGCAAGCCUGAUGCAGCGACGCCGCGUGAGGGAUGACGGCCUUCGGGUUGUAAACCUCUGUUAGCAGGGAAGAAGAGAGAUUGACGGUACCUGCAGAGAAAGCGCCGGCUAACUACGUGCCAGCAGCCGCGGUAAUACGUAGGGCGCGAGCGUUGUCCGGAAUUAUUGGGCGUAAAGAGCUUGUAGGCGGUUUGUCGCGUCUGCUGUGAAAGGCCGGAGCUUAACUCCGUGUAUUGCAGUGGGUACGGGCAGACUAGAGUGCAGUAGGGGAGACUGGAAUUCCUGGUGUAGCGGUGGAAUGCGCAGAUAUCAGGAGGAACACCGAUGGCGAAGGCAGGUCUCUGGGCUGUAACUGACGCUGAGAAGCGAAAGCAUGGGGAGCGAACAGGAUUAGAUACCCUGGUAGUCCAUGCCGUAAACGUUGGGCACUAGGUGUGGGGGAACAUUCCACGUUUUCCGCGCCGUAGCUAACGCAUUAAGUGCCCCGCCUGGGGAGUACGGCCGCAAGGCUAAAACUCAAAGAAAUUGACGGGGGCCCGCACAAGCGGCGGAGCAUGC
rnacentral:rRNA from 1 species